rnacentral:lncRNA from 1 species
CAUGCGUUCGGACCGAGCUUUAUAGAUUGUAAGGAGGGCAUUCUGAGGAAGUGAAGGGAAUCGCUUGUGAAGUUUCGCUAGAAUCUCGUUUCUGUCCAUACCUUUGCCUCAGAAUAUCAGUUAUUAUGGGAAACUGAAGUAACCGACUUGAUUGUCACGGAGUACCGUUAUCCGCCACUUCACCGGGGUAACAAACUAAAGCACUCAAACAGAAAAACAAAUUAAAACACACAAAGAAAAUUAAAAUCGUCCUCUUAUUGAAUUUACCUCAAGCUCCAACUGGAUGUCGUAAACACUUCUCUCAAUGUCUUUGAGUUGGCGUUCUAAACCCUCAACAUAGGCUACUAACUCUGGUGAUUGUAGAGCCCAAAUGCGUUGUGUUUUACAAAAUUGAAUCUGCCUUUUGAGAUGAGUUUUGACACGUUGAAGUGGUUUAAGAAUGUUCAGGAGGAACGGUCUAAGUAUGAGACUCAUGAUUAAAAAUGAUAAGAGAAAACUUAAUGGUAAAAUAAACACACUUAUGCAAAAAC